rnacentral:rRNA from 3 species
CGGUGGAUCACUUGGCUCGUGGGUCGAUGAAGAACGCAGCUAAUUGCGCGUCAACUUGUGAACUGCAGGACACAUGAACAUCGACAUUUCGAACGCACAUUGCGGUCCA